GACGAACGCUGGCGGCGUGCUUAACACAUGCAAGUCGAACGGAAAGGCCCUGCUUUUGUGGGGUGCUCGAGUGGCGAACGGGUGAGUAACACGUGAGUAACCUGUCCCUGACUUUGGGAUAACUUCAGGAAACUGGGGCUAAUACCGGAUAGGAGCUCCUGCUGCAUGGUGGGGGUUGGAAAGUUUCGGCGGUUGGGGAUGGACUCGCGGCUUAUCAGCUUGUUGGUGGGGUAGUGGCUUACCAAGGCUUUGACGGGUAGCCGGCCUGAGAGGUUGACCGGCCACAUUGGGACUGAGAUACGGCCCAGACUCCUACGGGAGGCAGCAGUGGGGAAUAUUGCACAAUGGGCGGAAGCCAGAUGCAGCAACGCCGCGUGCGGGAUGACGUCCUUCGGGUUGUAAACCGCUGUCGCCUGUGACGAAGCGUGAGUGACGGUAAUGGGUAAAGAAGCACCGGCUAACUACGUG
rnacentral:rRNA from 1 species